AAAUCCAAGCCUGUGAGCAGCUCCACAUCUCUUACUCUGCACUGGUGGAACCACACCAGGUCUUCCACCCACUGCGACUCUGCCUCUUGACUCUGUGUGGGAAAAGUUGUGACUGCAGACUUAUUCCAUCACUGCAACUUCCUCCAACAGUUUGGGAGAGCACACUUACCCUCCAAAAUACAUUAACCAAGUCACUGUUUCUUAAAAUUGUAUAAUAAACCAGCUGAGCUACA